GCCGGGAUAGCUCAGUCGGCCAGAGCGGGUGAUUUGUAAUCACCAGGUCGCGGGUUCGAGUCCCGCUCCCGGCUCCA
rnacentral:tRNA from 1 species